CAUGUCUUUUUGAUAAUAAUUUAAGGUCUGACCUGCUCAAUGAAGUUUUAAAUUGCCGCAGUAUCCUGACUGUGCAAAGGUAGCAUAAUAAUUAGUUUCUUUAUUGGAAGCUGGAAUGAAUGGUUGGACAAGAAAGUUUCUGUCUCUUUAUAAUUUUUUUUUGAAUUUAAUUUUUAAGUUCAAAAGCUUAAAUUUUUUUAAAAGACGAGAAGACCCUAUAGAGUUUUAUUUUUCUUUAAUUUAUUAUUUUUAGGAAUUUAAUGUUUUAAUUUUUUGAGAAAUUUGGUUGGGGUGACUUGAAGAUUAAAUUAACUCUUUAAAUUAAAAUCAUUGAUUUGUGAAUUUUUAAUCUAUAUUUUUAAAUAUAAAUUAAAUUACCUUAGGGAUAACAGCGUUAUUUUUCUUUAGAGUUCUUAUUGAAAGAAAAGUUUGCGACCUCGAUGUUGGAUUAAAAUUUGCUUUUGGUGUAGGGGCUAAAAAGCUAAGUCUGUUCGACUUUUAAAAUUUUACAUGAUCUGAGU
rnacentral:rRNA from 1 species